rnacentral:rRNA from 1 species
AUUGAACGCUGGCGGCAGGCCUAACACAUGCAAGUCGAGCGGAUGAAGGGAGCUUGCUCCUGGAUUCAGCGGCGGACGGGUGAGUAAUGCCUAGGAAUCUGCCUGGUAGUGGGGGAUAACGUCCGGAAACGGGCGCUAAUACCGCCUACGUCCUGAGGGAGAAAGUGGGGGAUCUUCGGACCUCACGCUAUCAGAUGAGCCUAGGUCGGAUUAGCUAGUUGGUGGGGUAAAGGCCUACCAAGGCGAGGAUCCGUAACUGGUCUGAGAGGGGGAUCAGUCACCCGGGAACUGAGACACGGACCAGACUCCUACGGGAGGCAGCAGUGGGGAAUAGUGGACAAUGGGGGAAAGCAUGAUCCAGUCAGGCCGCGUGUGUGAAGAAGGUCUUCGGAUUGUAAAGCCCUUUAAGUUGGGAGGAAGGGCAGUAAGUUAAUACCUUGCUGUUUUGACGGUACCAACAGAAUAAGCACCGGCUAACUUCGUG